GACGAACGCUGGCGGCGUGCUUAACACAUGCAAGUCGAACGGAAAGGCCCUGCUUGCAGGGUACUCGAGUGGCGAACGGGUGAGUAACACGUGGGUGAUCUGCCCUGCACUUCGGGAUAAGCCUGGGAAACUGGGUCUAAUACCGGAUAGGAGCCAUUUUUAGUGUGAUGGUUGGAAAGUUUUUUCGGUGUAGGAUGAGCUCGCGGCCUAUCAGCUUGUUGGUGGGGUAAUGGCCUACCAAGGCGGCGACGGGUAGCCGGCCUGAGAGGGUGGACGGCCACAUUGGGACUGAGAUAAGGCCCAGACUCCUACGGGAGGCAGCAGUGGGGAAUAUUGAACAAUGGGCGCAAGCCGGAUGCAGCGACGCCGCGUGGGGGAUGACGGCCUUCGGGUUGUAAACUCCUUUCGCUAGGGACGAAGCUUUUUGUGACGGUACCUAGAUAAGAAGCACCGGCUAACUACGUG
rnacentral:rRNA from 1 species